AGCUUUGACUGAGUAGACCUGGUCACAUCAAGUUGUGUGAGUUUCAAAUUGAGCCACUUAGCUUUAAAAUUAUGGCAAAUGAAAAUUCUGUCUUUUAUAAAUGUUACCAACCAUAGUGUAGCACCUCUUCUUAUGUAUGUUGAACAUCUAAACCAUUCAUUAAGUAAGCCUCACUGCACAUACCAUAAUUCUAAAACUUGGUGACUUGACUCAAAACUCACCCAAGUCAACUUGUCUAGAGAAGAUUUCAAGCCAAGACUCUUGGAAACUUGCUGACAAGCGUAACUCACCCAAGUCAACUCAGGAAUUUUACUUUGUUUUAAAGAUCAUGGAAUUUUUAACUAUGAUGGAUGAUUCCUUUGGAUGCUCCAUGUCGGGGGAGUUCCUGGUGUCCGCUAUGAGAGACGAGGUUCUUCAAGAAGCCAAGGCUCUCUUGGAAUAUAAUCCUCGCCUUGCAAAGGUACUCGACUCUCGGCAUUCUUAAUUCUCCUCUCCAUUAUUUUGCAGUGCAGGGCCACUACGAGGUGAUUCAUUUAGCUUUUGUUUCCCAUUUGAUCCCGAUUGGUUAUUAAAUUCAUGGGCCUUUGUAGAUUUUCUAAACUGAUUCUGUUGGCCUUUUCCUUUAGAUUGUUUCUCGAUUGGUUGAGGCUGGCGUUGAUGCUAAUCUUAGGAAUUAUCAUUGGAAGGUAAUAUCAAUCUUUUCUAUUUAUGCAAAUUAGACGAUUUUCUUCUGUUUUUUCAAUUUGUUCUUUUUUAGCAUUUACUACUUAGAAGUAACCCUUCAAGAACAACCAAAAAGAAAAACAUAGAAGUUGGAAGUAAAAAUAUUUUGGUAUCAAUUUAUACUUCAUUUUGAAUUGCCCAUCACCUACAUUUUCCAUUCAUCGGUCUGUAAUAAGAGGAUUGCUACUCUGACAAAAAAUUCAUGUCAAGUCUAUGCUAAUUGUCAGAAAAUAAAACCUAAAGCUAAUUCUGUGCAAGUCUACUAAAGCAAGAUUUGAUUGGCAAAACAUAAUUCAUACUAAAUUAGUGGAAACGUUAUAAUUUAGGGACCAACAAGACAGAUUCUAACAAGAAAACAAAGGAUCCAUCUUUCUUUUUUAUGUGGGCUGAAGGUUUUUAGAGAUAUCAACUCACCUGAGAAGGAGUGGCAUGGACUGCAAAUCCAUUAACGAUGUGAUUUUGAAAGAAAGAUAAAUUAGUAGAUCCAAUUCCACUUUUAUGCAGGUGAGCUUAAUUCUGAUGUAUUCAUGGCUUUUCAAAUGACAUUCUCCAUUUAUUUAUUUUCUACUUUGAAAUGGUGUUUGUAUUUUGAUUAUUAUUGUUAUUAUUUUCUUAAAGCAAUUUCUUCAUGGGUGUUGAGUUUUUGUGAAGUGUAGAAUGCUUUUAUUGUGAAAUUAGAUAUGCAUAAACUGGAUCUCAAAGAGAAGAAGCUGUAUUGGAUUUUCUUUAAUUUUGCAGUUGAGGUAAGCCUUGCUGUUUCUUGGAUUUUUAAACAAGGAGAUUUCUAACCUGGUACAGGACAUGAAUUUAGUUCCUGUGUGUAGCUCAAGAAUGCGAUACCUUGCACAAUGAUCCGGUGAUCCUUGUAGUUCACUGUGUUAUAAGCUGCAAUGGUCAUAAUACUAAAGUCAUGGUUUUUUCCUCACUGCAUUAUGUUAUAAUAUAUGUACUUUUUCAUUCUUUGAGAGAAUUUUGAGUGGAAAUGGAAUCGGUGUGGGCCCCUUGGAACUCCAUUACUUCUGCAGUAGUCUUACUUAAGUGAUAGUGGCCAUGCAUCCAUGUGUUCUUUUAGCUGUGGUUUGAGCAUGGUAGGCCAGCAGUUGUAUCUUGGAACAUAAGGCUCCAAUUUAUCCAGGUCCAGAUAAUGGUGACAUGUUGGUGAGGUAAAAUAGAUCAUUUUAAAUUCUAUAACACAUGGCUAUAUGGUGACUGCGAGUUGAUAAGGCUUGGACUCUAAUUUCUCCUUUCUUUUCCAUAGUAAUGAUUUUUUUUUGGAGUUACUUGUUUCUGCAAUGGUAUGCUGAUUUCUCUUUAGUCGACAUCCUGAUGGUUUAAGUGUUUGGAACUGCGGCUAGUGUUUUCUCUCGGGUUCUCGUCAUGUUUAGGAAUUGGGCUCCUUGAGCUAGUCGUGUUGGGGGUCUUACUAUCCAGGGGACGGUUUUUGUACAGCUACUAUUUCUUUUAGUUCCUUUUCGUUCUCUCUUUUGUUGUAUUUUCUUUUCUUUUGGUAGUCUGUUCUCUCUCUCUCUCUCUCUCUCUCUCUCUCUCUCUCUCUUGUUUUGUUCAAGCUAGUGCUAAACAUGUUUAUGUGGUGGAGGCAUCUGAAAUGGAGAAUAUGCACGCACGCUUAUUGUUGGGAAUCCAUCAUUGAGAGAACGGAUUACAGUGAUCAAAGGUAAAGUUGAGGAUGUUGAAUUGCCUGAGAAAGAAGGCAUUCUGAUUUCUGGGGCUAUAUGAUUCAGAAGGGUGUUGCAGGGAGCACAGAUUCAUUGCCAAAAUAUCAUAUCUGAGGCAACAUGAUUGUGUUGAGAUUUCCAUCUUAUUUCCAUGGUUUCUCUAUUUGUGUUGAGAUUUCAAGUCUCUUGGACUGAGAGAAAAAACCCAUCUCUGUUUCUCUUCUUUCCUUUUCUUUUCUUUAUGUUUUUUCGUGUUUUAUGGAUUGGGAUUCCAAGUCUAUUUGACUGAGAAUUGAAGACUCUUUUUGGGUUUUCUUGGGUUUUAUUUGAGAGGAAAAACCCAUUAAAAUAUUAUAGCUAAUGUUGUGGAUC